UUGAACGUCUGAAACGGAUUUUUGACCAAAAUCGACGCACCAAAGACGUUCCAAACAAGAUAGCUUAAAAACGAGGGGUGAAUACGUUUUGAUAACGUUGGAAGCCAGGCAGCUUAAAAACGAGGGGUGAAUACGUUUUGAAAACGACUCAAGGCGCCACCGCCACGCCACGGCACGUCAGCCUCUUUAGCGGCUUCUACAAAAUUCAACAACCCAUCAACGCAAUCCAACCUUGCGCAAGGUGGCGAUACCGUGGUCAAAUCAUGUGACCAAGGUGGCCACGUGAUUCGUGAUGCUGGGCAGCCGGGCGAGGCGGGCAUAGUCGCGUCGUCAUGGCGUCGUCGCGUCACCGCACUCGCAUUGCGCUGUGGUGUGUUUGCGGCUGUUCUGAAUGUGCUGGCGCUGCCCUUUGCUAUUUCUCGGGCAAAAGAGAUCGAGAAUAGGACCACCCAUGCCCGGAGACGGUGUCCAAAAGAUGAUGGUGGAUCCGAGCGGAGCGGAAGCUGCUGGAAUUGGGACGUCUUCCAAGAACGACGACCGAGAACACCGAGUAAGGACGGACACCGGAGGCCGCAUCACUAAGCACAACGUUGGCCACCCUACUCACCCGACACUUGAAGAAAGGAACCCGCAGGUGAAGACACGUUGUACGUCGACAUCGAAUGCUCCAUCAUCUUCU